GACGAGGGGCAAGCGUUGUCCGGACUCACUGGGCGGUAAAGGGUAGGCGUAGGCGGUCUUGUGGCGUCCGCGCUGGAAAUCAUCCGGCUCAACCGGGUGGCGCCGUGUGGAUACGAUGAGGACUUGAGGCUCUGAGGAGGGUGGCGGAACUCCUGGUGUAGUGGUGAAAUGCGUAGAGAUCAGGAGGAACACCAAUGGCGAAGGCAGAUCUCUGGGCCGUAACUGACGCUGAGGAGCGAAAGCAUGGGGAGCGAACAGG
rnacentral:rRNA from 1 species